rnacentral:lncRNA from 1 species
AUGACUUUUAUAUUUUUAUAUUUUUUAUUUUGUUAUUUUUUUAUUUUUUUUUACAGAACCACCAUUUCAAUUUUAGGGUUUGUUUAUUUUUGUUUUUUUUACAAGCUUAACAUGAAAACAGAGAUGGAUUCACGGAUGUUUAGCUUGUAUCCUGGAAUACAAAAAUUUAUUGAAUUAUAUUUUUACAAUAAUAAUUAUAACCAAAAUGGUAUUUUUAGAGGAGCAGUGGUAAUAGAAUUUGAUCAUAUGUAUGCAUCACAAAUACAAAUAAAUUAUGAAGGUUUAAAUGGAGCAUUACCUAAUCAGGAUAUGAUUAUUUUACUAAAAGACGAGUUACAUGAGUAUGGCAUUCCUAUCAAAGUACAACCCGUCUAUAACGUAAUAUACGACAUGGCUUUUGAAAAAUCUUAUGAAAAAGGACAUAUACAUUUUUUAAGAGAAAAUAUUUCUUCAUUUACGGUGAGUGGUGUAACAAAAGUUCCUUUGAAAAGUAAUCCAUAA